GGCAUCAUACUAUAAUUAAAGAUUUAUCACUUAAAGANGGCUGUGCGGCUGAUUAGGUAGUUGGUCGGGGUAACGGCCCACCAAGCCAACGAUCAGUAACUGGUGUGAGAGCACGACCAGUCACACGGGCACUGAGACACGGGCCCGACUCCUACGGGAGGCAGCAGUAAGGAAUAUUGGUCAAUGGACGCAAGUCUGAACCAGCCAUGCCGCGUGAAGGAUGAAGGCCCUCUGGGUUGUAAACUUCUUUUAUCUGGGAAGAAAUGCCUGCUUUAUAGCGGGUUUGACGGUACCAGAGGAAUAAGCACCGGCUAACUCCGUGCCAGCAGCCGCGGUAAUACGGAGGGUGCAAGCGUUAUCCGGAUUCACUGGGUUUAAAGGGUGCGUAGGUGGGUUGGUAAGUCAGUGGUGAAAUCUCCGUGCUUAACAUGGAAACUGCCAUUGAUACUACUGGUCUUGAAUUUUCUGGAGGUAAGCGGAAUAUGUCAUGUAGCGGUGAAAUGCUUAGAUAUGACAUAGAACACCAAUUGCGAAGGCAGCUUACUACAGGGAUAUUGACACUGAGGCACGAAAGCGUGGGGAUCAAACAGGAUUAGAUACCCUGGUAGUCCACGCCCUAAACGAUGGAUACUCGACAUUUGCGAUACACAGUAAGUGUCUGAGCGAAAGCAUUAAGUAUCCCACCUGGGAAGUACGACCGCAAGGUUGAAACUCAAAGGAAUUGGCGGGGGUCCGCACAAGCGGUGGAGCNAUGUGGUUUAAUUCGAUGAUACGCGAGGAACNUUACCUGGGCUNNAAUGCNGUUGGACUGUGGGUGAAAGCUCAC
rnacentral:rRNA from 1 species